rnacentral:rRNA from 1 species
UACGUAGGUGGCAAGCGUUGUCCGGAUUUACUGGGCGUAAAGAGCGCGCAGGCGGUCGUUCAAGUCGCGUGUGAAAGCCCCCGGCUCAACUGGGGAGGGUCACGCGAUACUGAUCGACUCGAAGGCAGGAGAGGGAAGUGGAAUUCCCGGUGUAGUGGUGAAAUGCGUAGAUAUCGGGAGGAACACCAGUGGCGAAGGCGACUUCCUGGCCUGUUCUUGACGCUGAGGCGCGAAAGCUAGGGGAGCAAACGAG